ACUCCUCUCCUGUUGUAAACUUUGUUUCUAUCUUAUGUGUCCCUAAGAAGCCCCACAAGCCUAUGAUGGUUAGUUAUCCCUGUCUGAAAAUCUCAACUGAGGGAAAAUAACCUAUUCUGAGGCUUAGGGGUGUGGCUGCAUGUUCCAGAAGUAGUUCAGGCUUUAUAAGGAUCAAAUUGAGUGGACUCCACAGGGAGCUGUGUGCGCCCUGCUGAGAUUCCAGUCUAGCGAUCAUCCCUUCAGACCUGAAGACUAAAGUUCUGGUUGCCAUAUUAACAUCUGUCCCCUUCAGUGAUGGCUCUGAAGGCACAGGCUCUGUGAGAUGGCAGAAAUGGACAAGCAGCCAGUACUUACUGUGGAAGGAGAAUGCCUACCACAUAUUUCAAGGAAAUGAAUGUGCCCUUUGAAACUGAAACAGGAAUGUAAAAUAUAUGCCAGCUUGUGGCAGUAAGAAUGCUUUUACUGACCUUGCCUCUGGCAGUGUCCUGACAUUUAGAAAAGAAGGGUGCCAUGGCCCGGCAGAGCUGUUGGUUUCCAGGGGCUCUGUCAAUAGCACCACGGAGCCCCUCUUUCUAUCUGAAUGGCAUUGCUGGCACUGGGCCACUGCUUGGGCAGCAGAGGUUGGCACAUGAACAGGAAAGAAGCAAAGUGGUAUUGUGGGCGUGAUGUCUGUCUUUGUUUCUAUUUAAAUGCCAGGCUUGAAGUGGACAGAUUGCCUUUUCUGAUGAAAUUGGGAGGUGUGUGUGGAGUCUACAUAUAAGGUUAUCUCCCAGUACUGCCCAGUGGGAUCUGCACAGCCCUGCUUCUGCUAAUGCCUAUGAGUUAAUCUCCCCCAAAUAGAAUCAUUUAAGAAUUCUUCGUGUACAACCAGAGAAACGAUAGUUGUACCCCAUUUGUGUACAAUGAAUCAAAAUUAAAAAAAUAAAAGAAUUCUUUGGGUUUCAUCCUCAGAAAUAGCCAA